UUGACAGCUUUUUUUACCAAGUUUGGAGACUAAGGUGGUGUCCUACUCGAUCAAUUCCCGACUGCAGGCUGGCCGGCUCUUGAAGAACAGAUCGGCGCCAGCACAGCAAUAACAUCGGCAGUUCAAAGGCAAGGCACAAUGGCAGGGAACAAAGGAAAAGGGAAAGUUGAAGAAGCUGCACCCAUCCUUGACGAAACUCUCCCUUCUCCGGUGGCCACCUUCGAUAUAGGUGACAUUGAGAACCU